GUUAUGGGAUCCGAUACCCUCUUCUGGCAUAUCUGAAGAGGCAUAGGUGUGCUCAUAUACAUAAAAUAAAUAAGUCUCUUUUUUUUAAGGUGGAGAAAGAUUGAGAAAGAGCAGUAGCAACGCGGGUCUCCGUGUGCGCAUGCGCACACGUGCACAAGCGCACGGACAGGUACCUUCAAACAACAAAGAAGCUCUGAAGCAGGCCUGGAGGACCGGAGGAGCCAAGUCACCUCAGUAUCCAUCAGCUAUGCAACUCCAGCUAGACAGUCAUUUUACCCUGUUAGACGGAGAGCUGUAAUCCCAGAGCAUUGGAAAGCUGAGGCAGGAGACUGCGGAUUGUAGACCUGCUUGGGCUAUGUGGUUGAAUUCAAGGCCAGCUUGGGUAACCUACUGAGGGCCUGGCUCAUGAAAGGUGAAAAAGAUUUGGUUCAGUGUUUGCCUACCUAGCCUUGGCAAGUGCCUGGAUUCAUUCACUGGUAUUGUAAAAGAAAAUAAGCAAAACAAACACAAAAGGAAAGAAAAGAAAGGAAACUAAGGCACACACACACAUACACACCAGAUAUACACACAUACAUACAUACAUACACACACACAUGCCAGAUGCACACACCACAC
rnacentral:lncRNA from 1 species